rnacentral:rRNA from 1 species
GAUGAACGCUGGCGGCGUGCCUAAUACAUGCAAGUCGAGCGAACAGACGAGGAGCUUGCUCCUCUGACGUUAGCGGCGGACGGGUGAGUAACACGUGGAUAACCUACCUAUAUGACUGGGAUAACCUCGGGAAACCGGAGCUAAUACCGGAUAAUAUAUUGAACCGCAUGGUUCAAUAGUGAAAUACGGCUUUGCUGUCACUUAUAGAUGGAUCCGCGCCGCAUUAGCUAGUUGGUAAGGUAACGGCUUACCAAGGCAACGAUGCGUAGCCGACCUGGGAGGGUGAUCGGCCACACUGGAACUGAGACACGGUCCAGACUACUACGGGAGGCAGCAGUAGGGAAUCUUCCGCAAUGGGCGAAAGCCUGACGGAGCGACGCCGCGUGAGUGAUGAAGGUCCUCGGAUCGUAAAACUCUGUUAUUAGGGAAGAACAAAUGUGUAAGUAACUAUGCACGUCUUGACGGUACCUAAUCAGAAAGCCACGGCUAACUACGUG